UGAUUUCAAAAAUCAAGGGCUAGAGGGAGAAAAACAUUUAUAUAUUGGGGAACUUAUCAGCUAGGGUCGGAGUUUCAGACUAUGUCAGUGAAAGAAUUUGGUAAUGACCUCCCAAGCAUGUGGGCUGAUUGCUCUCCUCUUGAAGUUAUGGCAGAAGUGACAUCAACGUUCAUAAAGAGGGCUGCAAAGACGAAUCUAGGCAGCCUGCUCCAGUCCACAUCUCCGUUAGGAGAUGAAGCCAACUGAAACAAAAAAGCAGGCCUCCCGUGGCCCGAGGCCCUUCCAGUCGUCAUGAUGAAUAUGAGGGCUACAGUUCAAAGGAUUGUGUGGCUGCAGACCAGAUGACCCCAUCAGGUGACAGCCUGUGCUGUGAUGGUUCCAACCCCUGGAGGACAUAUUACCGUCUUCGUCCAAAACACAUUUUCUCUUCCAAUUCCUUCUCAUCCUAAGUGUGAGCUGCCAGGACACCGGACUCCACGCCAACCCAGGCACUCCAGCCCGGAGACUGUGUACACGAAGGAAUUCUGGAUACACAACUCCCUCCCAAGCGGAUGGACGGUGUCCCGUGAAAUUCUAUUUAACCCUCUUGCAAGUUGGCAUGAAACUCUGCUACGAACUCAGAGACCCAGCGGACGACAAGCCACAGCUGACCCACACCAUCGCCAAAAGAAGAUGGCUUUCGCUGCGGAAGGAAGCACCAAAGGUCUCCGAUACUGCCACCUUGUGGUCAAGCCGCUUGAUAGCCAAUUUUGGGGGGAAAGUAGGUUGUAAAAGGAUCUAUCUCUUGCCCAGCCACGCUCACUCAGAGGAAAGGCCAUGCGGGGACACAACAAGGAGGUGGCCCCUUCAAAGCUAAGAGAAGAGGGUCGUUACUGGAAAUUGGCCACACCAGCACCCUGAUCUUGGACUUCUCGGCCUCCAGAACCGUGAGAAAGCAAUGUUGUUUACCCCCCCCCCCCCACCGCCCGCCGCUCCCCCAGUCUGUGGCAUUUUGUUACAGCAGCCAGAGAAGACUGAUACAGUGGUGUAUUCUGAUCUUACCCCGUG
rnacentral:lncRNA from 1 species